rnacentral:lncRNA from 1 species
UGAAAAGGAAAAGUAUUCUGUGGCGUAUGAAUGAAAAAAUAUCUUUUGUGUACUAUGAAAGGAAAAACAGUUUACAAAUUUCUACUUGAAAAGAAAAAAUUUCAAAAUGUUUAUGAUGUAAAUAUGCGGAAAUUAAUUGAUUAAUUUUAUUUGUUUGUGUAAAUAUUAACAACCUAAAUCUUGCCUAAAUGUGCGAUGAGAAUUAUGUAUAUUAGGAACAUCCCCACCCGACCAUCCAAAAGUAAAGUUUUCACUAUAUUUGUACAAGUAUAAAAAUAUAAAAUACAACACAAAUUUAAAGUCUUCUUUGAAUGCCACUCCCGACGAGUAUCCCCAUAAUAAAAAAUGUUAGUAACAAAUCAAAAUAAAUUUAAAAUAUAUGUGCAUAUAUGUAUAUAAAAAUAGAAUUUUUUAUUAAAGUGUGGGUUUAGAUAAAGUUUUAAAUAUUAUAAAGAUUUUGUCAUUUCCAAGUUUAUUUAUUUUUGUUAUGCAUUUUUAUACAUAAUGUUCGUAUUUUAUUUGGGGAGGCUUCAAAAAUCAACGGAGAAUUUCUUCAUUGGCCAACUGUUGAUGCUUGAUAUGAAUAAAUAAACUUGAGAAAAAUGAAGUUCAUCUUUGUAAUGGGGUGGCCUCAAAAAUCUAACGGAGAGAUAAUUUCAUCGGCCAUGUGUCUAUUCUUGAUAUAAAAUAAAUAACUUGGAAAGUAAAGAUUCAUCUUUUGUAUUGGGGUGGCCUCAAUUAUCUGACAGAGAGAUAAUGUCAUCGUCCAUUUGUAGUGUACUAUCUUAUUUUGUUACUAAUUUAAAAAAAUAUAAAGGGCAAAAUUAGUCCCCCAGACAAUAUAACACAGUAGCAAAGAUAGAAAAUCUGUAAAAAUUUGAGCAGCCUGAAAUUACAGGAGCGUUUGAAACAUGUAAAUGCUCGUCGAAAAGUAUAGAGUUUUGUCAACUCCGGCAAACAAUAUUUAGAGCGAUAAUAAAGAGCAGGUAAAACAAAACAUUAUUUUUCAGUCAGUUUCAAUAAAAAAUCCAACAACACAAUAUUGAUGAAUAAUACAACAAAACCCAAACUAUCAAAGAAUUUUUCGAUCAGUGAUAGCAACAAAUAGAGGAAGAGAAUGAUGUUGCUUCCACAACCUUCGCCAAUGUGAUACCGAAAGCCGUGAACUUUGGCCAUAUCUAACUCAUUUUGAUGGGCAGUGGCUGUGGUAUUAUUUGUCAAUGGUUAAAUCUGGCAGUGACAGUGAAGAGGGGUAGGGCGACGCAUGGUAGUGGUACCUCGCCGAUCAUCACUUCUGGAAAGAAGAGGCAACCAAUAAGAACACGACAUCAAAGAGGAGGGGCUGGGUCAGAGUUUUCACUAGCCAUGAUGCUUGUUCAUGAUUCACCAAUGAUGGGGGAGCGAAGGUUACAUUGUGGUCGGAGGUGGUCAGUUUUGGGAGUUUAACCGGCUGGAUUUGGUGGUUCUUGGUCGAAAAAAGCCCAUCGGUGGUCAAAUAUGGUGAGACAGUAGCGAAAAAGAGUUGGAGGGGUGGUCUCUGAUAGAUCUAGUUCAUGGUGGUCACCGACAGAUCUGGUUCAUGGUGGCACUGAUGUUUUUACCGGCUAGAGCGGUGGUUGGCGGUGGUUUACUGGUGGCAGUAGAGCGGCGAUGGUAGCGUGAUUGGUUAAGAAAGAUGAGAGAGGAAGAGAGAUGCAUAUAUAUGUUGGUGUGUGUAUGUGUGUUGGUGUGUGUAUAUUGUUAUUUUUUCAAAGAAUUGUGUGGCUGGCUCCCCUUUUUUUUAAGCUGAGAGGUAGAAAAUAAAAAUCUAUCCUCUCAAUUUUUGUCUCAUGGGGUGAUUGUUCUCCCUUUUGUUUGUGUGUGUGAUUAUUAUACUGUCUCAAAAUAAUUGAUCCGACUCAGUAUUUGCGGACCGUAAAUAUAUAGACAUUACUUUGUAAUUAUGAAAAAAAUGUAAAGAAUGUUGAAAAUAUUAAAAAAUGUAAUUAAUUCUAAAAUGUUUUUAAAAUGUGAUGUCAUGUCAUGAAGUAUACUGAUGAUCAUUAAAUAUUAAAAUGAUAAUGAAUUGAUAAACAUUCCAAUGUACAGAGAAUUAUUAAUAAAUUAUAAAAAAGUAAAAAUAUGAAGAUAAAUUGAUAAAAUUCUAAAGUAAGGAUGAAUAUCAAUAAUUUAUUAACAAUUAUCAAAAUAUGUGAAAAUUAUAUUUUGUGCCCUUUAACACUCAAGAAGCCUAAAGACGUUAGUUUAAGCAUGGAGAGCAAAAAUUGGGUGUCAACAGUUGCCUCUUUUCAUUUGAGGACGAUGUAGAAGUCUUCAAAUGAAAACAUUGAUGUAUAGCCAAUUUUGCUCAACAAAAGAUUAUUUUUUUAUGGAAAUUCGAUUGACCUUCAAUUUAGAGUUGCCUACAUACCUUGAGUUGUACGAGGAUCAGGUUGGGUGUAGUUCAAAAGAAUAGGUGAAUUGCCUCUUGUCCCAUUAUUAAGGGAUGAAUAAUCAUGUGGAAUGAUUAUUGAGAGGAGGACUGUUUGGGAAUACAAGCUCUCACAUGGGGAUGCAAUAUUAUGUACUUCUUGGGGAGAAAGAAUGAUUAUGUGGUUGUGAUGACCGAGCUCUGCAUAGAGCUUCCUACAUAUCUCGAGUGCCGCAAGAAUAAGGUCAAUGUAGUUCGGAAUGAGAAAAUAGGAGAAAUUUUGAGACGGUUCUCAAAAUUUGCCCCAGUGUACGAUUUGACUAACAUUUGGCUUUUUGAAUGGAAUUUGAAAAAAAUGUAUUGUUUUGAAUUGUAUUUUUGGUUUAAAAGAUGUAUUAUGUCUUCGAAUGUCUAUGUAGACUUGUGGAUGAAUAACGUCUUCGAUUAUUUACGGGAAAUUAUGUGAUGAAUGAAAGAUGUCUUAGAUUGUCUAUAAAGACUUGAUGCAUGACAUCUCUAAUUGUCUAUGGAGACUGAUGUUGAUUGUCAUCUUUAAUUGUCUAUAAAAACUAUGUGAUGAAUAAUGUCUUCGAUUGUAUAUGAAGACUUGAUGCAUGACAUCUCUAAUUGUCUAUGGAGACUGAUAUCGAUUGUUAUCUUUGAUUGUCUAUGAUGACUGAUAUGAUGUCUUAAUUAUUUACAAAGACAGAUAUUGAUUGACAUCUCCAAUUGUCUAUGAAGACUAUGUGAUGAGUGAUGAUAUCUUUGAUUAUCUACGAAGACUUGAUGCAUGACACCUCCAAUUGUCUAUGGAGGCUGGUGUUAAUUGUUGUUUUUGAUUAUCUACGGAGAUUGAUAUUGGUGAUGAUGUCUUCAAUUGUCUAUGAAGACUUGAUUACAACUCUAAUUAUCUAUGGAGACAGAUGCUGAUUGUCAUCUCUGAUUGUCUGAGGAGACUAUGUAAUAAAUGAUGUCUUUGAUUGUAUACAAAGACUUGAUGACAUCUCCAAUUGUCUAUGGAGACGGAUUUUGAUUAUGGUAAAGUCCUCUGGUUGUUUUGGUGCAUGAUAUCUCUGAUUAUCUAUGGAAACUGAUAAUAAUGGUCAUCCUCAAUUGUCUACGAGGACUAAGGUCAUCAACUGGUGAGGUGAUUGAAUUCUAAUGGCCUCUCGAUUGGUGGAAUAGCUGGAAGGUAAUAGCCUCUCGACUGGCGGGGCUGUUUAAAUUAAAGAGCUCUCGACUGAUGGAGCAAAAGAUAAUAGCCUCUCGAUAGGUAGGCUAUGGAGAUAAGAGGGCUCUCUACUGGCAGAGCGACUAGAAGGUAAUAGCCUCUCGACUGGUGGGGCUAUAGAUAUAAGGGGGCUCUUGACUGGCGGAGCAUAUAAAAGGUAGUACCCUCUCGACUAGUGGGGCUGUUGAAAGGUAAUACCCUCUCCACUGGAGGGGCUAUGAAAAUAUAAAAGCCUCUCAUGGGCGGGGCUUUGAAAGGUAAUAUCCUCUCGACUGGCAAAAUUACCAAAAUGUAAAAGCCUCUCGACUGAUAGGGCUUUGAAAGAUAAUAGCCACUCGACUGGCGGGGUUUUAAAAGAUAAUAGCCUCUCGACUGGCAGGGCUAUGAAAAUGUAAGAGCCUCUCGACUGUCGAGGCUUUAAAAGGUAAUAGCCUCUCGACUGGAGGGGCUAUGAAAAUGUAAAAGCCUCUCAACUGAUGGGGCUUUGAAAGGUAAUAGCCUUUCAACUAUCAGGGCUAUGAAAAUGUAAGAUCCUCUCGACUGGCGGGGCUAUGAAAAUAUAAAAGCCUCUCAACUGAUAGGGCUUUGAAAGUUAAUAGCCUCUCGACUGGCUAGGCUAUAAAAAUGUAAAAGCCUCUGAGAACACCUGAUAGAAAAGCAAAAUAUCUAUGUUUGAAGGCGGUUGCUUGAAAAUAAAAGUCAAUUGUCUAUAUUUGGAGGCGGGCGUCUUCUAUGUAUGUAAAGGCAUGUGUUUGAAAUGAAAGGAAAUUAUUUUUUAUAUUUUCAUUGUAAAAAAAUAUGUCGAAAGAUGAAAAAUGCGAAAGACUGCUUUGUGUUUUCUUUGUAAGAAAUGCUGAAAGGUAAAAAUACAAAAAUUUGUUUUCUAUUUUCUUUGUAAGGAAUGUUGAAAGGUGAAAAUGCAGACGAUUGCUUUGUAUUAUUUUGUAAGAAAUACUGAAAGUUGAAAAAAUGCAGAAGAUUGUUUGUAUUUUUUUUUGUAGGAAAUGUGAAAGAAUGUAAAAAAAUUAUUUUGUAUUUUCUUUGUAAAACUGUUGAAAGGUAACAAAGGCAUAAUCAUGUCUUGACUGUAAUUGGUACCAAUAAUUAGUAGUGUGUAAAAGAAUUCACCCAUCUCUUUCCCAGCUAACUGAGAUCGACUUUUGGGUAACUCCUAUAGUUUCAAGAGGUACCUCAGAUAUACCUAAGUAUUAAUAAGAUUUGUUCGUCUUGAUUCAAACAAAGGUUUUGAACUAUGUUUAUCCUCAUGUUUCAAGUGCCUUCUCCAGAAAUAAUGUCUCGUUUUCAUACCUACUUAAGUAUUUAUCUUUUUGAAUUGAGAGACGUCCAAAGAUAUACACUCACACUCAUAAGAAAGUUCAAUGAAUACAAUUAUGAAACUAUAGGCUUGGCCUUCAUGUAAGUAUCCACUAAUGCGAGAACACUUAGAGUAGGAUCUUGUAGGACUUGUUAUCGGCUUGUAAUGUAGGCUUGGGAAUGGGAAAGAUGCUAUUUAGGAUGAAAUUGACUAAUGCCUUGAUGAGCAUUGCACUGUAUCUGUGUUUCUGACAUCUGUUGCGUGCUUUGAGGCUUGAUCUUCUUUGUUGUGCUUCGCUUCUCCUUUAUGAUAUUUACUUCGACUUUAUUUGAAUCUUGUACUGGAGUUUUUCCCCUUUUUGAUAAACAUUUUUUUAUGAUUCUCCAUCUUUAUCGGAGUUAUAUUUUUUCUUUUUUCUUUUUUCUUUGUGCGGGGGUUUUUGCUCAUUCUUCUUUAAAGUCAGCUUUUCAUUUUUGUUCUUCUGGGACUCUAUAUCCUUCAUCUUUUUAAGCUUUAAUCUUGAAUCUUUGUCCAUAAUUUGCACAUAUUUAGUGCGCUCAAAGAGGUGGUCCAAGAGUGGGAUGGUGCAUGUAAGCACUAAAAAGGGAUAGGCUCAGAUGUGGUUAUCUAAAGAAAAGGUUUCAGGAUCAACGGGGGAAAUGCUAGGGGUUGAUGUCAUUUAGUGGGCUGUGAAAGGCAUAAUCGGGUCAAAAAAGGCCUACAAUCCUUUCCUAAAAUAAGUUUAACUCAAAAUUUUGCCUCAACAGACAUUCAGGCCAAUUUCUAGAUCAACAAUACAAUGUAAUGAACUAGUCUAAAGCUCACCACACAAUGCACUUGAAGCGAUAAGGUUGGCUUCAUUCUUGUCUUAAAUGUAUGCAAGAGAAUUUUUGAGUGUUACUCAAGUUUGAUUAAGAGGUAUCAAAGGAGUCUAUGGUUUUCCAUGAAUUCGGUCCUAUCUAUCAUACAAAUUUAUUCUUUCUCAUGCACACUUCUAACUAUAUUGGUACGAACCAAGUCAAAUUUUUGAUUUUUUAUUUAUUUAGAAAACAAAUGGGACCGAACCCCAAUGAGGGUUGCCUACCUAUCUUGUGAAAACAAGAAUACGAUCUGCGUAGUUCAGGCAAAUUUGUAAAUUUGUAUGUACAAUGUAUGAAUAUACAAGAGUAGUGGUCAUCCUUGAAAAUAAUGUGAAAGACGAUCAGGAAGGAAUUGCUUGUAGCAUCAAAAUUAUUUUUGAUCAGACGAUCGUGAGGGCAAAUGUCAAGCAUGUGGAGGGUUUUAAAAUUACUUCAAUAUGUCGACAAGAUUGAGAAGGUCAGACAUUGAAAAAGUUAUGACAUUAUUUCGCCGAUAUUGAACCCUUGCUUUGAAAAUGGGGAUCGAUACGACAUAAAUUUAAUGGUUUACAAAAUUUGAAAGAAGAAGCUAGAUGUUCUAGAACAAAAACCGAGUGAGAAUUUUGAGGUAGAACAGCUAUUGUAACAACCUGAUACUACCCCCUAGUCGUCACACGGUACUUGCGACCCCAAAGGACCACAAGCUAACCCAUGAAUGAUAUAUACUAUGAGUACUGAAUAAUAAUACUGAAAUGAAUGCAAAAUAACAAGUUGAAAUGCCAUACGGUUCAAAACAUGUAAAAUACUGAUAAAAUAUAAUAUCUAUAAAACUGAAUAUUGUCUGAAAAUCUAGCCUGAAAAGAAUCUAAUUGAAUCUGUCUAAAAGUGACGUUGAUGGGACAAUACCCCAACUAACUCUAUCUACUAAAAUACUACUAAGCUGGAGUACUAAAAUGAAAGCAUAUCCUCAAUAGAUGAGGACUCACUGCUAAAUCUGCUACUACUGGCUGAAUCUGGCUAAGCGCGGUCAGGAACCUAAGCAUCCGAACCUAUGAUAUGAAAUAUUAUAGCGCAAAAAACAAGUAUGUAGUCAGUACGUGGAAAUGUACUGGUAUGCUAAAUGAGGUAAGGCUGAAUGCAUGGGUUUAUAUACAUGAUCAAUAACUAACUGAAUAAUAUGCAAGAGAUGGAUUAGCAUACAUAGAGGAUCUGUAACUACUGAACAUACUGUUCCUACUGUGACUGAAUAAACUAGAACUGAAUCUGAUAACUGAAUAUACUGAUAAUCUGGGAUCACUGAUAAUCUAAAUUACUAUUAACUGAGUGACUGUAUCUGAUAGUCCUAAUUCUGUAGAACUGAACUGAGUUCUAUUCUGAAGACUAAGAUCGAAACUAAAACUGUGGGAGGUAAUCAUCUAACUGACAUGACCCAAAUAAGAUAAGAUAACUGAGCUGGGGUCCAAUCUGUAACCUCAAUUGGAAGGGUAUCAGUACCGUGCCAUGGGUAAAAAUAAGCUAAAAAAUAACCCUCUACUGGUAGGUUUCCUAAACGAUAAUGGUGGUACCCUCUACUAGCAGGUAGAGCACCUCAUCAACCCUCAACCGGCAGGUUUGAUGUCUCACUCUACGUUGGAUACGUAGUUUUGGAAUGUAAGGAUUACUUCUAAGGGUCACACCCUCUGCUGGAAGGUGAGCCCCCAUCCUUGGGUUCACUCGGUGCUAAUUGCACAUAUUUAGUGCGCUCAAAGAGGUGGUCCAAGAGUGGGAUGGUGCAUGUAAGCACUAAAAAGGGAUAGGCUCAGAUGUGGUUAUCUAAAGAAAAGGUUUCAGGAUCAACGGGGGAAAUGCUAGGGGUUGAUGUCAUUUAGUGGGCUGUGAAAGGCAUAAUCGGGUCAAAAAAGGCCUACAAUCCUUUCCUAAAAUAAGUUUAACUCAAAAUUUUGCCUCAACAGACAUUCAGGCCAAUUUCUAGAUCAACAAUACAAUGUAAUGAACUAGUCUAAAGCUCACCACACAAUGCACUUGAAGCGAUAAGGUUGGCUUCAUUCUUGUCUUAAAUGUAUGCAAGAGAAUUUUUGAGUGUUACUCAAGUUUGAUUAAGAGGUAUCAAAGGAGUCUAUGGUUUUCCAUGAAUUCGGUCCUAUCUAUCAUACAAAUUUAUUCUUUCUCAUGCACACUUCUAACUAUAUUGGUACGAACCAAGUCAAAUUUUUGAUUUUUUAUUUAUUUAGAAAACAAAUGGGACCGAACCCCAAUGAGGGUUGCCUACCUAUCUUGUGAAAACAAGAAUACGAUCUGCGUAGUUCAGGCAAAUUUGUAAAUUUGUAUGUACAAUGUAUGAAUAUACAAGAGUAGUGGUCAUCCUUGAAAAUAAUGUGAAAGACGAUCAGGAAGGAAUUGCUUGUAGCAUCAAAAUUAUUUUUGAUCAGACGAUCGUGAGGGCAAAUGUCAAGCAUGUGGAGGGUUUUAAAAUUACUUCAAUAUGUCGACAAGAUUGAGAAGGUCAGACAUUGAAAAAGUUAUGACAUUAUUUCGCCGAUAUUGAACCCUUGCUUUGAAAAUGGGGAUCGAUACGACAUAAAUUUAAUGGUUUACAAAAUUUGAAAGAAGAAGCUAGAUGUUCUAGAACAAAAACCGAGUGAGAAUUUUGAGGUAGAACAGCUAUUGUAACAACCUGAUACUACCCCCUAGUCGUCACACGGUACUUGCGACCCCAAAGGACCACAAGCUAACCCAUGAAUGAUAUAUACUAUGAGUACUGAAUAAUAAUACUGAAAUGAAUGCAAAAUAACAAGUUGAAAUGCCAUACGGUUCAAAACAUGUAAAAUACUGAUAAAAUAUAAUAUCUAUAAAACUGAAUAUUGUCUGAAAAUCUAGCCUGAAAAGAAUCUAAUUGAAUCUGUCUAAAAGUGACGUUGAUGGGACAAUACCCCAACUAACUCUAUCUACUAAAAUACUACUAAGCUGGAGUACUAAAAUGAAAGCAUAUCCUCAAUAGAUGAGGACUCACUGCUAAAUCUGCUACUACUGGCUGAAUCUGGCUAAGCGCGGUCAGGAACCUAAGCAUCCGAACCUAUGAUAUGAAAUAUUAUAGCGCAAAAAACAAGUAUGUAGUCAGUACGUGGAAAUGUACUGGUAUGCUAAAUGAGGUAAGGCUGAAUGCAUGGGUUUAUAUACAUGAUCAAUAACUAACUGAAUAAUAUGCAAGAGAUGGAUUAGCAUACAUAGAGGAUCUGUAACUACUGAACAUACUGUUCCUACUGUGACUGAAUAAACUAGAACUGAAUCUGAUAACUGAAUAUACUGAUAAUCUGGGAUCACUGAUAAUCUAAAUUACUAUUAACUGAGUGACUGUAUCUGAUAGUCCUAAUUCUGUAGAACUGAACUGAGUUCUAUUCUGAAGACUAAGAUCGAAACUAAAACUGUGGGAGGUAAUCAUCUAACUGACAUGACCCAAAUAAGAUAAGAUAACUGAGCUGGGGUCCAAUCUGUAACCUCAAUUGGAAGGGUAUCAGUACCGUGCCAUGGGUAAAAAUAAGCUAAAAAAUAACCCUCUACUGGUAGGUUUCCUAAACGAUAAUGGUGGUACCCUCUACUAGCAGGUAGAGCACCUCAUCAACCCUCAACCGGCAGGUUUGAUGUCUCACUCUACGUUGGAUACGUAGUUUUGGAAUGUAAGGAUUACUUCUAAGGGUCACACCCUCUGCUGGAAGGUGAGCCCCCAUCCUUGGGUUCACUCGGUGCUAAUUCCUAGCUCCCCCCAUCCUUGGGUUCACUCGGUGCUAAAUCCUACUCCCAGCUGAAAGACACUGAACUGUUAUACUGGACUUAACUAGACUGAAUUUCAUUGAUAUUACUGAGUUUUCAUAAGUUUUGUAACUGAUUGAAUUCUACUGAGUUCUGUAAUGGACUGAGAGUACUACUGAUAGUGACAUGACUAAUACUAUUCUAUAAUUGACACUGGCUCUAAAUAAACAACUAAGUUUUCAGGUAUUAAAUACCCCCAGGACUCAAUAGCAUGAAAAGUAAAGAAAAGCAUAAUCUUGAAUAACAUAACAAUGUUCACUUGGUCAUAAUUCAUUCAUAGAGAUAUUCGAUCAAACACUUGUAAUGCAUUAACUUGUACAUGAAUGAGGAUUACAUGUUAGCAUGCUAUAAUGGAAUUAUUUCAGUCUCAUAGAUAAUUUAUCAAACACAUAAGAAGUAUACUUGGUUCAUUAAUCAUAAACACUUAGGGUUAACAUGGUUACAAAAAUCAACUUGCAAAUUGAUGGGUUUAUCAUGAUUAUCAUGUAAUUCAACACAUACUAGAAUCAAGUCUUGGAACUUGUAAUCUAAAUCAUGGAUUAAAACUCAAAUAACAUCAUCAACAUAAAUUCAAUCUUAUUCAAAAAUGGAAAUCAUAAAUCAUAAAUCUUGUAUUUUGAAAAAGGAUUCUUUGGCUCCAUGGAAGGUAAGGAUCUAUGGAUGAACAUCUAGCAUACCUUAAUUUAAUGAGUUCUUGGAGAAAUUCUUGGGAUUGACCUUUAUUCUUGAGAGCUAGGGUUUAUUUUCUUGAGAGAGAAUUAUCUUUUGAUUUUGGGGAAAAGUGAAUAAUGAAGGGUUUUACACGUUUUUAGGGCUCAAAUCCUACAUCUGGGCAGAAUAAAAUCAUGAGAAAAGACUAUUUUAACCCUAGGCGCAACUUUAAUUCUUUGAGAAAUUUUCUCGAACUGGACCCCUGGUGCGACGCGACAUGAUGAUAUCGCACUGGGCCACUGGAAAAUGACAACUGGAAAAUUGCAUAGUCGUGCGACAGGUGGUUUUGCGUUGCCACUUUGUUUAUGAACUAGAAGUGCACCGCGACACGAUGAAAGCACGUUGGUACACUAAAAAUUGACAAUUAUGAUCUGAGUUUAUGGAGCGACGCACCAAUAUCAUCGAAAAAUACUGGAAAUUGACAAUUUCUCUUUUAACACACUCCACGAUGCGCUACUGCUUGAAUGACGAUGUUUAAUGACUGAAACUUAAAAUCAUCAUAGCUUCUUAUCCGGUUGUCGAAUUUAGACGAAUUUUAUAUCGUUGGAAAGAUAAUUGAAUUUCCUACGCAAUGGUAGGCUCAAAUAUGCAAAUAAAUUAGUAUUUCAAAAAUUUUAUUUAGAAUAACCCAUGUACAAAGUGCUAAUCUAGGCUAGGAAAUAUGGGGUAUUACAAUAUCUCCCCCUUAGGAAUAUUCAUCCUUGAAUGUGGCUAGUUAUGCUGAGAUAGUACGAACAGAAUAAGUUUACAUACUGAACUAAGCAUGCACAACUAAAGCAUGAUUACGUGACUGGUCUAAUAGACUGAACUUACAUUCUGAGCAUGCAUGUCUGAUGCAUGAGUUCAUGUAUGAACGGAUUAAUGAAUACAUAACUGAAUAUGCAUGAAUGAGACCAUGGGGACAUAACUAAGUUUGAAUCAUGUAAUAUGAACUGAAUCGAUUCUUUAGAUAGAUUUCAUGACAGGGUGAUGGUCAUACGACUGAGAUUGAGACUCGAGGGUCAAUUAUAAGGACCCAUUACUUCAACUGGAUUUACUACCAGAAGAGAAAAUAGAAGAUUUAGAUUAUGAUAGCUCGGAGGUUAUAGUGCAUCUCCCUCUUGGGACACUAUGUCCCUCGAGAAUACUGACUUAUCUGAGAUACUAAGGAAAAGCAUGAGAUGAUGCACGGGGAACCUACGAACUGAAUCAUGACUGAAUAUCUAGGAUUUGAAACUGAGGCAUAAAUAACUGAACUGAACUGGACUGAAUUCACAGAGAUUACUGAGUUUUUCUAAGUUCUAUAACUGAUUGAAUUCUACUGAGUUCUGUAACAGACUGAGAGUACAACUGAUCGUGACAUGAUUGAUACUAUUCUACAACUGACACUGGCUCUAAAUAAAAAACUAUGUUAUCGGGUAUUAAAUACCCCCAGGACUCAAUAGCAUGAAAAGUAAAGAAAAGCAUAAUCUUGAAUAACAUAACAAUGUUCACUUAGUCAUAAUUCAUUCAUAGAGACAUUCCAUCAAACAAUUAUAAUGCAUUAACUUGUACAUGAAUGGUGAUUAUAUAUUAGCAUACUAUAAUGGCAUUAUUUCAUUCUCAUAGACAAUUUAUCAAACACAUAAGAAUCAUACUUAGUUCAUUAAAUCAUAAACACUUAGGGUUAACAUGGUUACAACAAUCAACUUGCAAAUUGAUGGGUUUAUCAUGUAAUUCAACACAUACUAAAAUCAACUCUUGGAACUUGUAAUUAAAUCAUGGAUUAAAACUCAAACAAAAUCAUGAACAUGAAUUCAAUCUAAUUCAAACAUGGAAAUCAUAAAUCAUAAAUCUUUUAUUUUUAAAAAGUAUUCUUGGGCUCCAUGGAAGGUAAGGAUCCAUGGAUGAACAUCUAACAUACCUUAAUUUAAUGAGUUCUUGGAGAAAUUCUUGGGAUUGACCUUGAUUCUUGAGAGCUAGGGUUUCUUUUUUUGAGAGAGAAUUAUCUUUUAAUUUUGGGAAAAAGUGAAUAAUGAAGGGUUUUACACGUUUUAGGGCUUAAAUCCCACAUCAGGGCAGAAUAAAAUCAUGAGAAAAAACUAUUUUAACCUUGGGGCGCACUUUAAUUUUUUGAGAAAUUUUCCUGAUCUGGACCCCUGGUGCGAUGCGCCACUAUCGUGCUAGGCUACUAGAAAAUGAUCACUUGGAAAUUUCAUGGUGGCGCGACGUGGUGGUAUCGCGUUGCCACUUUGUUUGUGAACUAGGAGUGCAUCGUGACGCGGUGGAAUCACGUUGGUACACUGGAAAUUGACAAUUGUGAACUGGGUUUUUGGCGCAAUGCGCCAAUAUCAUGGAGCAACACUGAAAAUUGAAAAUUGUUGUUUUAACACACUCCGUGACAUGCUACUGGCCUGGAUGACAAUGUUUAACGGCUGAAACUUAAAAUCACCAUAACUUCUUACCCGGUUGUCGGAUUUAGGCGAAUUUUAUAUUGUUGGAAAGCUAAUUGAAUUUUCUACGCAAUGGCAGGCUCAAAUAUACAAAUUAUAAAGUAUUUCAAAAAAUUUAUUUAGGAUAAACCAUGUACUGAGGAUUAAUCUAGGCUAGAAAAAUAUGGGGUAUUACAGGGCACUAAUGUUAUUGAGAUUUGGAUUUGAGGAGUUAUUUAUUUGCUCUCUUUGAAGACCUUUGGAGAGUUUCUUUGAACUGUUCAAAAAAAAUUGCCCCAAUUUGAAUAUCGAAGGAAUUAUUCUGAAAUAGUGAAGAGAUCAAACCCGAAUACCAGGUUUCCUAUGUAUCUUGUUAGGACAAGAAUUAGGUAAAACCAUAGUUUAAACUUUUUAUAAGUUUGUAUACAGCAUGACCCAUUUCUAGAAUAGAAACUUUCCUAAAUGGUUGAGAGUAGAACUGAAUAAUUGCGAGAAGGUGCACUAACCUAAAUGCAUCAACUCUAAAACUAUGAAAUUCAAAGAAGGUUUGAGGGAGUGUAAGACACCUCCCGCGUGAACCACAGUAUGUGAAGUGUACAAUAAAAAACUCGAUGGAAUUGUGAUUUAUGAUUAAAUAAAGUAAAUAAUAAUGCGUAACAGUUUUUACAAUAUACAGAUACAGUGUAUUACACAAAUAAUGAAUAAAAGAAUUGAUAAAGCAACAAAAUUAAUUUGCUCAAAUAAUGUAAAAAAUUCAAGAAAAAAUCUACGCAAUUUGCAAUGUGAACACAUAAAGAAUCAAAGAAUUAAUAUAUACAAAAGAUGUAAAAAUACCUCCCUCAAUUAAAAAAUUGAGUCUAUCAUGGUUAGAACCUGCUGCAUUCUCCAGCAGAGUCGCCAUUCUGUCAUGCCCUAUUUUUACCAAGGUUAAACAAAACAUGACUCGUGGACUCUAAGAGAAUUGAAAUAUGUACAGAGUCGCCACCUAAUUUUUAAUAAACAUAAGGAAACCUGUUUAUUUAUAACACGUGUGAAUAAUGUUUUAGUCUGCGAAAAAUUAAUUGAGAUUCUAGGUAAGGGUUCAAGUUAUCCCGAAGGAAAGGGGUUGAGCAUUUUUCAGGAUCCAUAAAUAUGGUACCCGGCUAGACUAAAUUUAUCAAAAAGGGAGGAAGUAUAAAAAUAAUGUAAAAGGUGUAUGUGUAUUAAAUAUAAAAUAAUUCUUUUGAAAAAAUAUAAAUGCAAAGGUAUGUGUAUAUUGAGUAUAAAAUAAUUCUUUUGAAAAAAUAAAUAUUUAAAAACUGUGUAAAAAUAUAAUAUAUAUACUAUGAAAGAAAAAUCAGUUUAUAGAUUUCUACUUGAAAAGAAAAGAUUUCACAAUAUUUAUGAUGUGAAUAUGUAGAAAUUAAUUGAUUAUUUUUUUUGUUUGUGGAAAUAUUAACGGCCUAAUUCUUGCCUAAAUGUGCGAUGAGAAUUAUGUAAAUAAAGAACAUCCCCGUCUGACACUGCAAAAGUAAAGUUUCCACUAUAUUUGUACAAGUAUAAAAAUAUAAAAUGCAAUACAAAAUUUAAAGUCUCUUUGAAUGCCACUCCUGACGAGUAUCCCCAAUAACCUGUAUAAAUACUUGUAAUAAAAAAAUGUUAGUAAUAAAUCAAAAUAAAUUUAAAAUAUAUGUGCAUAUAUGUAUAUAAAAAUAGAAUUUUUAUUAAAGUGUGUGCUUGAAUAAAGUUUUAAAUAUUAUAAAGAUUUUGUCAUUGCUAGAGUUUAUUUACUUUUGUUACCCAUUUGUAUACGUAAUGUUCGUUUUUUAUUUGAGGAGGCCUGAAAAAUCGACGGAGAAUUUCUUCAUCGGCCAAGUGUUGAUGCUUGAUAUGAAUAAAUAAACUUGAGAAAAAUAAAGUCUGUCUUUGUAAUGGGGUGGCCUAAAAAAUCCAACGAAGAGAUAAUUUCAUCGGUCAUGUGUCUAUUUUUGAUAUAAAAUAAAUAACUUGAAAAGUAAAGAUCCGUUUUUGUAUUGGGAUGGCCUCAAAUAUCCGUUAAAGAGAUAAUGUCAUCGGCCAGGUGUAGUGUACUAUCUUAUUUUGCUACUAAUUUAAUAAAAUGUAAAGGGCAAAAUCAGUCCACCGGACAGCAUAACACAGUAGCAAAGAUAGAAAAUCUGUAGCAAAAUUAGCAGCACUAAUAACAAUUUACAAUAGUGAAUGGAGCAGCAGUAACAACAUAACAAAAAAUUUGAGCAGCCUGAAAAUUACAGCAUCGUUUGAAACAUGUAAAUGCUCAUCGAAAAGUAUGUUUUGUAAACUCCGGCCAACAACAUUUAGAGCAACAAUAAAAAGCAGGUUAAACAAAACGUUGUUUUUCAGUUAGUUUCAAACCAAAAAUUCAAGACACAACAUUGAUGAAUAAUACAACGAAACCCAAACUAUCAAAGAAUUUUUUGAUCAGUGAUAGCAACAAACAGUGAAAGAGAAUGUGUCGCUUCCACCGCCUUCACCGGAGCAACACCGAAAGCCAUAAACUUCAGCCAGAUCUAACCCAUUUUAGAUGGGCAGUGGUUGUUGUGUUGUUGCCAGUCGUCCGUGUGUCAAAUCCAGCGAUAACAUUGAAGAGGGGUAGCGUGGCGCAUGGCAGUGGUGCCUCGCUGGUCAUAACUUUCGGCGAGGAGCAGGACCAAUAAGAACACGACAUCAAAGAAGAGGGGGCGGGUUAGAGUUUUUACCAGCCACAAUGGUUGGUCAUAAUUCACCGGUGAUGGGGGAGCAGAGGUUGCGCGAUGGUCGGAGGUGGCUGGUUUUGGGAGUUUAGCCAUCUAGAAUUGGUGGUUCUUGGCCAAAAAUAGCCUGUCGGUGGUCAAAUCUAGUGAGGCAGCGACGAAAAAGAGGAGGAAGGAUGGUCACCGGCAGAUCUGGUUCUUGGUAGUCACAGACAGAUCUGGUUCAUUGUGGCGCUGGUGUUUUCACUAACUAGAGCGGUGAUUGGCGGUGGUGGUAGCAUAACUGGUUGAGGGAGAUGAGAAAGGGAGAGAGAUGUAUAUGUGUGUUGGUUUGUGUGUUGGUGUGAGUAUAUUGUUAUUUUUCCAAAUAAUUGUAUGGCUUCCCUUUUUUUAAGCUGAGAGGGUAGAAAAUAAAAACCUACACUUUCAAAUUUUAUCUCAUGGGGUGAUUGUUCCCUCUUUUUUCGUGUGUGAUUGUUAUAUUGUGUAAAACUAAUUAAUCCGACUCAGUAUUUGCGGACCUUAAAAAUAUAGACAUUACUUUGUAAUUAUGAGAAAAAAGUAAAGAAUGUUGAAAAUAUUGAAAAAAUGUAAUUAGUUUGAAAAUGUUAUAAAAAUGUGAUGUCAUGUCAUGUACAUGUGUAGAUGAUUGUAAAAUGUUAAAAUGAUAAUGAAUUGAUAAAAAAUCCAAUG